CAGCCCAGCUCAACUCAGCUCCCACUCAAUGCAAUUAAGGCGGACUUCAGGCGACUCUCCUACCUACGUGUUCAUCUAGCAAGGAUCGACGUUGAGACAACAGGAACCAGAGAGAAAGAGGGGCUUUGGUCCAACAAAAAACCAGGAGAAAUUGCCUUCUAAUUUCUCCCCUCUCCAACAGCCCAAGAACAAUGUCGAUGAGCCCUAGGCAUACGACUCCUUUUUCUGUUUCCGAUAUCUUGAGUCCUCUUGAGGAGAGCUACAAGAAAGUAAGUAUGGAGAAUAACAACUUGGGGUCACCUCUCGCGUCGUACCGGCAGCCGCAGGUGUCUCAGGCGAUGAUGCAGCAGCACCACAUGGGCCAUAACGGGACGGUGUCCGCGGCAUACCAUAUGACUGCGACGGGGGUGUCCCAGCUGUCACACACCGCAAUGGGGGGCUACUGUAACGGCAACCUGGGGAACAUGAGCGACCUGACGCCCUACCAGGACGGCAUGAGAGGCAGCGCCACGGCCGCUGGCUGGUACGGAGCCAACACAGACCCGCGAUUCUCAACGAUCUCGCGCUUCAUGGGUUCUUCUUCGGGCAUGAACAUGGGCAGUAUGGGCAGCCUUGGCUCGCUAGUAGACGUGGGGAAAGGCAUGGGCCCGCUCUCGAGCACCCCGAGAAGGAAGAGGCGCGUGCUGUUCUCUCAGGCUCAGGUCUACGAGCUCGAGCGGCGAUUCAAACAACAGAAGUACCUAUCGGCGCCUGAGAGAGAACACCUGGCGAGCAUGAUCCACCUCACCCCGACCCAGGUCAAAAUCUGGUUUCAGAACCACCGAUAUAAAAUGAAGAGGCAAGCGAAGGACAAAGUGUCGCAGCAGCAGAUGCAACAGGACAGUAGUUCUUGUCAGCAGCAUUCCCCUCGGCGGGUGGCUGUGCCCGUGUUAGUGAAAGACGGAAAGCCAUGCCAAGGCAGUGCCCACACUCCCACCACUACUGUCCAGGCCCACCACCAACAAGGUGCCAAUGUUAUGAUCAUGUCCAGUAACGGUUCAGGCCUAGGUCAGCACCAGAGCCAACAGGUGGGUAGUGCAGAUCACUCUCCAGACCUAGCACAACACUCCGCCAGCCCACCGUCUCUGCAGACCCAGGUAGCCGGCCUCUCUCACCUGAACUCCUCCAGCGCCGAUUACGGGACGGCCCUGCAGUGCUCUGCUCUGUUAUAUGGCAGGACAUGGUGAUCUGUUAUGCCGCAGGACAUGGUGAUCUGUUAUGCCGCAGGACAUGGUGAUCUGUUAUGCCGCAGGACAUGGUGAUCUGUUAUGCCGCAGGACAUGGUGAUCUGUUAUGCCGCAGGACAUGGUGAUCUGUUAUGCCGCAGGACAUGGUGACAGCCAGACAAACUAUGAUCACAAACACAUAUACAACACUGCUCUCAAAGCUUUUUCAGCAAAGUCACUCAACAGACACGCAAACAAACAAACAAAUUGUACUUUGUGUACAUUUUUAACAACACCAUUUGGUGAAUUUUAGUUCAUGCUCUUCUAAAAUGUAAUUGGAUAUGAGGACAGUAAGUGGAGACGAAAGAAACUCGACAGAUGAAGUUAUGAAGAUAUGCGAGUUCAAUCUUCGCUUUGAAGGUGGAUUUCUUAUUUCUGUAAAUUAUACUGACGCUGUACAGGGCUAGUCCUACAUGAAGAGGUCAUAGGCCCUCCCUACUCCUGUGUGUUGGUCAUUGGGCUAAAGAUCUCAAUAGAAAAACUGUGGGUGCUUUUCAAUUUUUUUCACAGAAGGCUCUGGUUUAUAAUAGAAUUUAAUGUAAAACGUAGCUUGUAUAUUUCUGUAAAAGGUUUGAAUUGAAUAUAUAGUUUUUAGCAAUCUGUUGUACAAAGUUUUUAGCGCUAUUAAUGGCUUGUGGUUGGUUCUUUGAGUUCCAUCGGUAUUUGUACGUUUUAAUUACUUGUAACUUAUAUAGAUAGAUAUUACUUAAAUACAGCCAAACAAUCCUAUUAAUUAUGGUAAUAAAAUUCAUUCAGAGCCAUUUAUUGAAAUUGUUUUGUAUACUGUUUCAGAGAAUGCAUAGGCCUACGAGAAACCUUGUCAAAUUAUUUUCAGAAAACUAAUAGGCCUUUACCUGUAGAAAAUUAAUAUUAUUAUAAUAAAAAUAAUAAUAAAAUAAUAAUAAUAUUAUUAUUGUAGUAGUAAUAAUAAAGAUGAUGAUUCUAAUUAUAAUAAUGCGUGAUCUUGUCUAUAGUCCACUUUAGCUUGUCAAUUCAGUAAGUCUCAAUUUAGACCGAAAUCAUUUUUUGCUGUCUUAUUAUGUUAAAUGCACACAAUAAUGGAUUUUAAGCAAUGCACGACUAAUGAAAACCUGUUUUUGACCAGGUGUGAUCGAAAUCGUUGUUACUAAGUGUUGCUGUGUAGGUAGGCUAAAUUGCUAUUAGCCUAAUGCUAACUUUUGCCUGAUAGAGCUUAACCCCAAUUCCAGGCUCUUUGGUCACGUUUAUUAUAGCUACAAUCAACGGUUGUCAGUAGAUGUGGUUCGUGGUACUCUGUGGCCGUUCCUACAAAACGCGGCGCCUCACAAAUCGUGUAUUGUGUACACACUAUCUCACUUGGAUCACGCUGGGUAAACUCAGGCCAGGUUUUUGUGUGCACUCGGCGUCCCUUAGGUUCUUAGCGUUCUUACGUUCUCUGCCUGUUUCUGGUUUGGGUGAGUCAUUUAGGUGAGGUCUCGAAGCGUUCUUUUUAACACUGGAGAUCAAACACGCGCUGACUAAAAGAACGUCUUAUCGACCAAAUCCCUUGCCAAACAACAGUAUUCUUCUCAAAUAACUUCAAGACAAAUCGUCGUCUCUUAUCAGAGAAAGAAGCUGAAGAUCAGAAAUAUCCCUGGCAUCUCCAAUAUAGAUCAUCUGCUAGUGGAGACCAGACAGAUGGGCUAAAUAAGCAGCCUUUUACUGUGCUGCAGGUGGCUGAUGGUGGAGCAGCAAGAGGCAGCCUCAAUCCCUCUUCAGACCCCUCCACCACCCCAUGACUGCCUCCUCCCUACUCCAACACAAAGUCUUUAGACCUGUAAAAUGCCCCAAAUUCCUAUUCCAAAUCAAGCUAAAAUAAUGUAUCAUCGCCAUGAAGUUAUCCAGGUCAUAAUAAUUCAUAAUUACAAGAAACUUGUAUUUAUUUAGCACCUUUCAUACAAUACAUUGCAGCUUAAAGUGCACUGGUUUGUGCAAAGAUUGUUUCAUGUUAUUUCAAUGAUUGUUUAUUUUGUUUUACAGCACAAUUUCUAAGAUAUUUGCUGAGCACAGAAUCAAAUUUAGAAUCAUAUUAUUUUAUUUAGUAUUUUUUUUAAUAUUAAAAGGAAGUCAGUUAUUCAAUCAUACACAUGCAGUCAGUCAGUAAAUCAGACAAAUGAAAUGAGCAGCAUUUAAUUUUCUAGCUCCUCUCGGCGUGGGAAUACACAACCACAGCUCAGCAUGUCAAAAGAUGUCAAGUGUUACAGUUCCCUUCCUGCUGCAAGGAGAGGAAAAAUCCCCCUAGAAAUGAAUUAAAGUGAAAGGCAAGUCUCUAAACCCUUUCCUAAAAUGAUUAACCCGUCCACCAGGACAUUGUGGAUCAGCUCUGAGUACUCACUGCUUUCUUAUUGCUGUUAAUUGUUCUUUUUCUGUUGUUGCCUUCCUUCAUUAGUCUCCCCUCAUUAUAUGAAAAGAGGGGAAAAUGUCGACCUGAAUAGGGGAAGGAGAUUUUCCCACAGUCCCUCAACACAGAGAAAUACACCAUUGUGGGCCAGGCCAGGCAGGUUCCCAUCCCUUGUGUGAGACACACACACACACACACACACACACACACACACACACACACACACACACACACACACACAUACACACAUACACACAUACACACAUACACACAUACACACAUAUAUAUAUAUAUACACACACUUGAAUGACAAGUCUUUCACUUUGUCUAAAUUGUAAAAUGGUGAAUAAUAUAGUCUGGGUAACAGGGUAAGUACCCCCAGUCAUUCACUUUAUGUCAAACUGAUGGAUCGUUCACUCAGGUAACACUGCAGUGUUUAAUUGGUAUUUUAUAUCAUACCACCUGUGUCCCAAAUGACACCCUAUUCCCUAAAUAGUGCAAUGCUUGUGAAUACUUUUAGCCCAUAGGGUUCUAUAAUACACUAGGAAAAUUGAGUGUCAUUUUGUAUUUGCCUUGGAAUAGUUAAAUGCACAAAUACAACUCAUUUCAAUAAUGAGAAAUACUGCAAUAUGUCAGCAUAAUAUCAUUUCUUUGGAUUAGCGAUGAAUGAACUAAAUGAACCCGUUUGGGGAAUUGUCUGGGCAAAACACUAUGUAACCUAUUGUGAUUAAAAACAAACAAAAACAACAACAAAAACGGUAGCAUUAACAUGUCGUAACAGCUAACAACCUGUUUAUUAUACGGUCAUAACACUGUCCUGACACAUAUUUAAUACCUAUUGUGACAUAUGUUGUGUUAUUUUAUGACUGGUUAUGACCCCUACAUAAGAGUGUCAAAACCUACCACGGUAUUUAUAUUUUGUCUGGUUAUGACCCCUACAUUAGAUUUUAGAAACCCACAAAACCUACCACACAAGGCAAAAUAUUCCAUUACACCAUAGUCUAGGUGUCAGUGUGUUAUGUUAUAUAAUAAUUGAAUAUGUUCAAUAUAUUUCUUUAAUCAUUGUAAUUGUGCACACAUUGAUGUCAGACAUGCACCUACCCCAAUGUUCUGUUGCUGAUGACUGGGAUGAAUGCAGGAGCAGAGUUCAGGAGCAGAGUUCAGGAGCAGGACAAGACACCCUCUUUUUAACUGAUGACUGACAUAAGAGCAUGCACGUGAUAGGCCUAUCUCGCUUAUACCAUUAUGAUGGUCAUAAUGCUUCAUGACAGUGUCAUAGAGUGUGUUUUCUACAAGUUCUUUCGAAUAUGAUGAGAAAAAAACAUGACUGUAAAGAAUUCAUUACAAUAACAACAAAGCACUUAUUAAGAAACAAACGUUGAAAGGAAUCUUCUUGCCAUAGGGACAAAACGAAUUGGAAUAAAUGUGGGUUAUGACAUUCUGUCACAACCAGCCAUAAAAUAACACAAUAUAUGUCACAACAGGUGUAAAUAUAUGGGUCAUGACAGUGUUAUGACCAUAUUAUGACAGGUUAUGUCAGCUGUUAUGACAUAUGACAUAGGUGUCAAAUAAAGUUUAACCCAAAAAACGAUUGUUUAUACAUGAAAGACAUUCUGAGACUAUUAUUUGAUUGCCAGGUCUUUGCUACUAAUACAUAUCACAUUUGAGUGUGGGACAUAAAAGUUAAGUGUUAACUUUAAGUGGUCUAGUCAAAUAUUUAGGACUUUAGUUCUGAGUACAGUUUCAGAUAUGAUGCAUGUUAAAUCAAUAAGCUGUAGAAAGAGGAGGAAGGGAAGCACCACUAAGGUACACAAUAGUAGGUUUUGGUAGACAAAAGGGGUAAAUUGGUCAUCAAAAAGAAAGGAGGACCAAGGCACUCGUAAUAUAAUUAAUUAAGAUGCCUUCAUUUGUAUGGCAUGUUCAAUGGUAACAAAGAUGGAAAAACUCUGACGCAUUUCGAUGAAGGCCAUGCGGACGACAUGUGUAGGAGUUUUUAAACGUUGUUUCUAUUGAACAUGCCAUGCAAAUAAAGGUAUUUUAAUUAAUUAUAUGAAGAGUGUUUGACUAACCAAUUCAUUGGUUCACUUUGUUAGGCGUUUCUGACUUGAGUCCCUGCUGCUAGUCUAAAAAUGUA